AGAUAAGAUUUCCCAUUACGUAAGUAAGUAAGAUCCCUGAAAGAUGAUCAGGUAGAUAGGAUGGAAGUGGAAGUGCUGCGAGGCAUGGAGCGGACCAUUACUAAUCGAUCGAGGACUUAACCAA
rnacentral:rRNA from 1 species